rnacentral:rRNA from 1 species
GAAGAACCUUACCUGGGCUUGAUAUCCUAAGAACCUUUUAGAGAUAAGAGGGUGCUAGCUUGCUAGAACUUAGAGACAGGUGCUGCACGGCUGUCGUCAGCUCGUGUCGUGAGAUGUUGGGUUAAGUCCCGCAACGAGCGCAACCCACGUAUUUAGUUGCUAACGGUUCGGCCGAGCACUCUAAAUAGACUGCCUUCGUAAGGAGGAGGAAGGUGUGGACGACGUCAAGUCAUCAUGGCCCUUAUGCCCAGGGCGACACACGUGCUACAAUGGCAUAUACAAUGAGACGCAAUACCGCGAGGUGGAGCAAAUCUAUAAAAUAUGUCCCAGUUCGGAUUGUUCUCUGCAACUCGAGAGCAUGAAGCCGGAAUCGCUAGUAAUCGUAGAUCAGCCAUGCUACGGUGAAUACGUUCCCGGGUCUUGUACUCACCGCCCGUCACACCAUGGGAGUUGAUUUCACUCGAAGCCGGAAUACUAAACUAGUUACCGUCCACAGUGGAAUCAGCGACUGGGGUGAAGUCGUAACAAGGUAACCGUAGGAGAACCUGCGGUUGGAUCACCUCCUUUCUA